GUCCUUGUCGAUUAGUGGUUAGAUCAUCACGUUGUGGACCGACCAAACCGUGAAGACGGAGGCUCGAAUCCUCCCUGGGACA
rnacentral:tRNA from 1 species